rnacentral:rRNA from 1 species
UCAUGCCCCUUACGACCAGGGCUACACACGUGCUACAAUGGCACAUCCCAAAGAGAAGCGACCUCGCCCGUGCAAGCGGACCUCAUAAACUUCGUCGUAGUCCGGAUUGGAUUCUGCAACUCGACUCCAUGCACCCGGUCUCGCUAGUAAUCUUGGUUCAGCAUGCCCCGGUGACUACGUUCCCGGUCCUUGUACACACCGCCC